UAGCAGAUAGCUCAGUAACACGGGGCCAAACUACCCUAUGGAUCCGAAUAACCUCGGGAAACUGAGGCUAAUUCGGAAUACGAUUCACCACCUGGAGUGGUGUGAAUCCGAAACGCUCCGGCGCCAUAGGAUGUGGCUGCGGCCGAUUAGGUAGACGGUGGGGUAACGGCCCACCGUGCCCAUAAUCGGUACGGGUUGUGAGAGCAAGAGCCCGGAGACGGUAUCUGAGACAAGAUACCGGGCCCUACGGGGCGCAGCAGGCGCGAAACCUUUACACUGCACGAAAGUGCGAUAAGGGGACUCCAAGUGCGAGGGCAUAUAGUCCUCGCUUUUUGCGACCGUAAGGUGGUCGCGGAAUAAGUGCUGGGCAAGACCGGUGCCAGCCGCCGCGGUAAUACCGGCAGCACGAGUGAUGACCGCUAUUAUUGGGCCUAAAGCGUCCGUAGCUGGCCAUGCAAGUCCAUCGGGAAAUCCGCGCGCUUAACGCGCGGGCGUCCGGUGGAAACUGCAUGGCUUGGGACCGGAAGACCAGAGGGGUACGUCCGGGGUAGGAGUGAAAUCCCGUAAUCCUGGACGGACCACCGGUGGCGAAAGCGCCUCUGGAAGACGGAUCCGACGGUGAGGGACGAAAGCUCGGGUCACGAACCGGAUUAGAUACCCGGGUAGUCCGAGCUGUAAACGAUGUCUGCUAGGUGUGGCACAGGCUACGAGCCUGUGCUGUGCCGCAGGGAAGCCGUGAAGCAGACCGCCUGGGAAGUACGUCCGCAAGGAUGAAACUUAAAGGAAUUGGCGGGGGAGCACUACAACCGGAGGAGCCUGCGGUUUUAUUGGACUCAACGCCGGACAUCUCACCAGCAU
rnacentral:rRNA from 1 species